rnacentral:rRNA from 1 species
AGCGAACGCUGGCGGCAGGCCUAACACAUGCAAGCCGAACGAACUCUUCGGAGUUAGUGGCGGACGGGUGAGUAACACGUGGGAACGUGCCUUUAGGUUCGGAAUAACUCAGGGAAGCUUGUGCUAAUACCGAAUGUGCCCUUCGGGGGAAAGAUUUAUCGCCUUUAGAGCGGCCCGCGUCUGAUUAGCUAGUUGGUGAGGUAAAGGCUCACCAAGGCGACGAUCAGUAGCUGGUCUGAGAGGAUGAUCAGCCACAUUGGGACUGAGACACGGCCCAAACUCCUACGGGAGGCAGCAGUGGGGAAUCUUGCGCAAUGGGCGAAAGCCUGACGCAGCCAUGCCGCGUGAAUGAUGAAGGUCUUAGGAUUGUAAAAUUCUUUCGCCGGGGACGAUAAUGACGGUACCCGGAGAAGAAGCCCCGGCUAACUUCGUGCCAGCAGCCGCCGUAA